rnacentral:rRNA from 1 species
CCUACGGGAGGCAGCAGUGAGGAAUAUUGGACAAUGGGCGCAAGCCUGAUCCAGCCAUGCCGCGUGCAGGAUGACGGUCCUAUGGAUUGUAAACUGCUUUUGUACAGGAAGAAACAGUUCUACGUGUAGAACCUUGACGGUACUGUAAGAAUAAGGAUCGGCUAACUCCGUGCCAGCAGCCGCGGUAAUACGGAGGAUCCAAGCGUUAUCCGGAAUCAUUGGGUUUAAAGGGUCCGUAGGCGGUUUAGUAAGUCAGUGGUGAAAGCCCAUCGCUCAACGGUGGAACGGCCAUUGAUACUGCUAAACUUGAAUUAUUAGGAAGUAACUAGAAUAUGUAGUGUAGCGGUGAAAUGCUUAGAGAUUACAUGGAAUACCAAUUGCGAAGGCAGGUUACUACUAAUUGAUUGACGCUGAUGGACGAAAGCGUGGGCAGCGAACAGGAUUAGAUACCCUGGUAGUCCACGCCGUAAACGAUGGAUACUAGCUGUUGGAAGNAUUAUAGUGNGUAGAGAAGUAGAGUAAGUAAGUACCACCGUACGGGAGGUACGGUUCGGUCGAAGAAAGUUAGUAAACGUUAACUUAAAUAAGAAGUUAGUUACGGCGUUGAGACGAGACCGAACGGACGACGACGAGGGGAGGAGGAG